UGGCCAAGGAUGAAAACCACAGUCUGAUUGGGCAUGCUUUCCAUGCUCUGAUGGGUUAAAGGAUUUACCUGAGGCCA
rnacentral:snoRNA from 2 species